AAGAAGAUUGGGGCUAGUUAUGAUCCCAAGAAACGCAAGGCUUCUUCACAAAGGACCCAUGUUGCAUCCAAACCAACCACAAAAUCUAAACCCUCAACACCCAAGUCUGCUCCUAGGUUAGAACAACUAGAAGCAAGGUUAAAGAGAGUGAAGCUGAGUUGCAGAAAGCUUUAGAGGAGAGUAAGAGAAAGAGAAAAGAAAA
rnacentral:lncRNA from 1 species